AUUCAGUGGCAGAUCCAGAAACUUUCAUAAGGGGGCCCAUUGACUGUCUUAAGAGGGACCCGCUCUAGUCAUGAUUCAGUAAGUCCCUAACUUGAAUAAUCAGUAUGUGUUUCUCCACAAAAAGGUGGGACAGCCCCUGCCCUUCCUAAAUUCGUCCCUGCAAUUGCAACAUAAAGUAAAUAGAGGGCAUACAGCUCGAUAUGGACAAAGAGAGACAACUCCAUC
rnacentral:lncRNA from 1 species